rnacentral:tRNA from 1 species
GGGUCCGGCGGGCCGGACAGGCCGCCGCCGAGCGAGACGGCGCGGUACCCGGCCGUUAUGCCCGGCCCGGGCCCU